rnacentral:rRNA from 1 species
GUAGGUGGAACCUGCGGCUGGAUCAUUA